rnacentral:rRNA from 1 species
CUAACUACGUGCCAGCAGCCGCGGUAAUACGUAGGGCGCAAGCGUUAUCCGGAAUUAUUGGGCGUAAAGAGCUCGUAGGCGGUUUGUCGAGUCUGCUGUGAAAUCCCGAGGCUCAACCUCCGGGCCUGCAGUGGGUACGGGCAGACUAGAGUGCGGUAGGGGAGAUUGGAAUUCCUGGUGUAGCGGUGGAAUGCGCAGAUAUCAGGAGGAACACCGAUGGCGAAGGCAGAUCUCUGGGCCGUAACUGACGCUGAGGAGCGAAAGGGUGGGGAGCAAACAGGCUUAGAUACCCUGGUAGUCCACCCCGUAAACGUUGGGAACUAGUUGUGGGGUCCAUUCCACGGAUUCCGUGACGCAGCUAACGCAUUAAGUUCCCCGCCUGGGGAGUACGGCCGCAAGGCUAAAACUCAAAGGAAUUGACGGGGACCCGCACAAGCGGCGGAGCAUGCGGAUUAAUUCGAUGCAACGCGAAGAACCUUACCAAGGCUUGACAUAUACGAGAACGGGCCAGAAAUGGUCAACUCUUUGGACACUCGUAAACAGGUGGUGCAUGGUUGUCGUCAGCUCGUGUCGUGAGAUGUUGGGUUAAGUCCCGCAACGAGCGCAACCCUCGUUCUAUGUUGCCAGCACGUAAUGGUGGGAACUCAUGGGAUACUGCCGGGGUCAACUCGGAGGAAGGUGGGGAUGACGUCAAAUCAUCAUGCCCCUUAUGUCUUGGGCUUCACGCAUGCUACAAUGGCCGGUACAAAGGGCUGCAAUACCGCGAGGUGGAGCGAAUCCCAAAAAGCCGGUCCCAGUUCGGAUUGAGGUCUGCAACUCGACCUCAUGAAGUCGGAGUCGCUAGUAAUCGCAGAUCAGCAACGAGGAGGCGAAUA